rnacentral:sRNA from 1 species
GCUGGGUGUGGUGGUGCAUGCCUAUAAUCCCAGCAGUGUGGGAGGCUGAGGAGGGAGGAUCACUAGUUUGAGGUCAUCCUCAGUAACUUAGCAAGGCCCUCAGCAACUUAGUGAGACCUGUCCCA